rnacentral:rRNA from 1 species
UACAGAGGGUGCGAGCGUUAAUCGGAAUUACUGGGCGUAAAGCGUGCGUAGACGGCUAUCUAAGUCGGGUGUGAAAGCCCCGGGCUCAACCUGGGAAUUGCAUUCGAGACUGAAUAGCUAGGGUACGGUAGGGGGCAGUGGAAUUCCCGGUGUAGUGGUGGAAUGCGUAGAUAUCGGGAGGAACACCAGUGGCGAAGGCGGCUGCCUGGACCUGUGCUGACGCUGAGGCGCGAAAGCGUGGGGAGCGAGUCCGG